ensembl:lncRNA
UACACAUGGCCCUGCGCGUUGUGGAUUAUCAUGCCUGCCUUCCUGUCAUUAAUUAGCCAUGGAUAUCAGGCGAUUUUUGAAGAGACCUUCGAGUGCUCCCACUCCAACAGAUGCCCGAAAAAGGCCUCAAGUACAAAGUUGGUUGAUGACAGACCCCGCCGAUGCCUCUUCGUCAAUCAAUCGUCUUCAUUGAUCCAUUAAUUGCAAACCUCGGCAAAGACAUUUAUAGUCAACAGUCAACUUUAAAACCUCAAAUAUCUGAAUGUUUGUAUAAAAUGAUGCUUGUUAUGAUGCUUAUUAAAAUUACUUGUAUACAG